GAAAUGCGAUAAGUAGUGUGAAUUGCAGAAUUCAGUGAAUCAUCGAAUCUUUGAACGCACAUUGCGCCCCUUGGUAUUCCAUGGGGCAUGCCUGUUCGAGCGUCAUUUGUACCCUCAAGCUCUGCUUGGUGUUGGGUGUUUGUCCCGUCUCCGCGCGUGGACUCGCCCCAAAGUGAUUGGCAGCCGGCGUACUGGUCCCGGAGCGCAGCACAUGUCGCGCAAACGAGUGCCUUGGUACGGCGGCGUCUAUAAGCCCCUCUCUCACGCUCUUGACCUCGGAUCAGGUAGGGAUACCCGCUGAACUUAAGC
rnacentral:misc_RNA from 1 species